CCUACGGGCGACAGCAGUGAGGAAUAUUGGUCAAUGGGCUUACGCCUGAACCAGCCAAGUCGCGUGAGGGAAGACUGCCCUAUGGGUUGUAAGCCUCUUUUGCCAGGGAGCAACGCCGGCUACGUGUAGCCGGACUGAGAGUACCUGAAGAAAAAGCAUCGGCAAACUCCGUGCCAGCCGCCGCGGUCAUACGGAGGAUGCGAGCGUUCUCCGGAUUUAUUGGGUUAAAGGGGUGCGUAGGCGGAAUGCCAAGUCAGCGGUAAAAUCGCGGGGCUCAACCUCGCUCCGCCGUUGAAACUGGCGUUCUUGAGUGGGCGAGAGGUAUGCGGAAUGCGUGGUGUAGCGGUGAAAUGCAUAGAUAUCACGCAGAACACCGAUUGCGAAGGCAGCAUACCGGCGCCCAACUGACGCUGAAGCACGAAAGCGUGGGUAUCGAACAGGAUUAGAUACCCUUGUAGUC
rnacentral:rRNA from 1 species